rnacentral:rRNA from 1 species
GCUUAAUUACCGGAUAGGUCCGAAAGAUGAAAGGUUAACUUGCCUGAAGAAGGAAGCUCGCGUCUGAUUAGCUAGUAGGUGUGGUAAGAGCGCACCUAGGCGACGAUCAGUAGCUGGUCUGAGAGGAUGAGCAGCCACACUGGGACUGAGACACGGCCCAGACUCCUACGGGAGGCAGCAGUGGGGAAUUUUCCGCAAUGGGCGAAAGCCUGACGGAGCAAGACCGCGUGGGGGAGGAAGGCCUUUGGGUUGUAAACCCCUUUUGUUAGGGAAGAAAAAAAUGACGGUACCUAACGAAUCAGCCUCGGCUAACUCCGUGCCAGCAGCCGCGGUAAUACGGAGGAGGCAAGCGUUAUCCGGAAUUAUUGGGCGUAAAGCGUCCGUAGGUGGCCCGGCAAGUCUGCUGUCAAAGACCACAGCUCAACUGUGGAAAGGCAGUGGAAACUGCAAGGCUAGAGUGCGGUAGGGGUAGAGGGAAUUCCCAGUGUAGCGGUGAAAUGCGUAGAGAUUGGGAAGAACACCGGUGGCGAAAGCGCUCUACUGGGCCGCAACUGACACUGAUGGACGAAAGCUAGGGGA